rnacentral:tRNA from 3 species
GCGGCUGUAGCUCAGUGGAUAGAGUGUUGGCCUCCGAAGCCAAAGGUCGUGGGUUCGAUCCCCGCCAGCCGCGCCA